rnacentral:tRNA from 1 species
AGUCUUAUAUUUAAAUUAUAAUAUAAAAUUGCAAAUUUUAAGGUGAGUGAAAAUUCUAAGGCUU